GACGAACGCGGCGGCGUGCCUAAUACAUGCAAGUAGAACGCUGAAGGAGGAGCUUGCUCUUCUGGAUGAGUUGCGAACGGGUGAGUAACGCGUAGGUAACCUGCCUGGUAGCGGGGGAUAACUAUUGGAAACGAUAGCUAAUACCGCAUAAGAGUAGAUGUUGCAUGACAUUUGCUUAAAAGGUGCAAUUGCAUCACUACCAGAUGGACCUGCGUUGUAUUAGCUAGUUGGUGAGGUAACGGCUCACCAAGGCGACGAUACAUAGCCGACCUGAGAGGGUGAUCGGCCACACUGGGACUGAGACACGGCCCAGACUCCUACGGGAGGCAGCAGUAGGGAAUCUUCGGCAAUGGACGGAAGUCUGACCGAGCAACGCCGCGUGAGUGAAGAAGGUUUUCGGAUCGUAAAGCUCUGUUGUAAGAGAAGAACGAGUGUGAGAGUGGAAAGUCACACUGUGACG
rnacentral:rRNA from 1 species